CAACAACCCACAGUCCCAGCAAUACAAGGAGCUGGCUAAUAAUGUCACAACAGAGCUAAAUAGAGGUUACCUUAAAAUGUAUCCUCUGAUAUUCCUGAGAUGCAUCGUCAAACGUUUUUGGCAGGGCUCUGUUGCGGUGGAGGCUGAUUUGGUUUUUGUAAACCAAACAGUGGUUCCUAACAUCACCAGCGCAGAGGAAUCUCUUGAAAUGGCAGUCAAUAAUUCAGUUGUAUUUCUCAAUAUCAUCC